rnacentral:rRNA from 1 species
GAGUUUGAUCAUGGCUCAGGACGAACGCUGGCGGCGCGCUUAACACAUGCAAGUCGAGCGAGAACCAUGCCUUCGGGCCUGGGGACAGCGGCGAACGGGUGAGUAACACGUGGGUAAUCAACCCUCGAUACUGGGAUAGCCCGGGGAAACCCGGAUUAAUACCGGAUGGCCCUUUGGAUCCUCGGAUCUGAAGGAAAAGGUAGCUUCGGCCUCCGAUCGAGGACGAGCCCGCGGCGGAUUAGCUUGUUGGUGAGGUAACGGCUCACCAAGGCGACGAUCCGUAGCUGGUCUGAGAGGACGAUCAGCCACACUGGGACUGAGACACGGCCCAGACUCCUACGGGAGGCAGCAGUGGGGAAUCUUGCGCUAAUGCGGGAAACCGUGACGCAGCGACGCCGCGUGAGGGAAGAAGGCCUC